rnacentral:lncRNA from 1 species
UAGGGCCCCACAUUCCUAGAUUCUCAUUACCAUGUUGCCUGAUUUCCUCUCUCACUAAGAACAGCUCUCCACAAUAAGCAAAUUCACUUGAUAGAAAUAGGAAAUAAAAUAAAUAAUCCUUACAAGGCAUCUAUCUAGUAAUCACUGUGAUGUAAACCUCAAAGAGGCAGUACUUGAUCCUUAUGGAUAGGUGGCUAAUAAAGGAAUUUAGAAAUUAUCAAAUGUUCUUAAAAAAGUAAAAUAGAUAUGUAUCUUUCCCAGUAUUCUAUCAAAUCACAUAAUGACAGCAAUAUUAAUACUAGUCAUGUUAUUUAUUUGUGCCAUGAACAGGUGUUUUGCUACGAUUAUCAAAAAUUUUCAGGUUGGGGCUGUAGCUCAAUGGAAGAGUGCUUGCCUAGUAUGCAUAAGGCCCUGGGUUCAAUCCCCAGCACCCCUAAUUUUUUUCAGAAAACCUUAGAUACAUGAAUAAAAGCUGUGUGUUGGUGAACACGUACAUAAUAAGUUACAGAAAAAGGAUUUAAACACAGAUCUGUCUGACUCCAAAAUCCAUCCUCAAGUAGCCUGUAUCACAUUUCAUGUCAGAACAGUUUAUAUUAUCUGCAUUUAAUUUCAGGCUUACUCUUAAAGAAUAUUAAUAGAAAAUACUCAUAAAAUCAAUAUAC